GGGAGCUGUUGGAGGUUAUGAGAUACCAUGAGGAUCAGUAUAUUUGUCAGAGAGUGUCGUGCUGGCAAUUUGUACGGACGUUUUUCUUUCUGGUGAAAUCUUAAUAUGCAGGGUGCUGAAACAUGUUUUGGAUUUUGAUUGUGUAACCACAAUCAAUGUUUCAUAAUGGACUGGGUUCUAAUUACAUAUGUUUGCAACAAUGCAGGUGGGUUUGCUUUCUUCUUAAGUACAGUACCGGGUGUAUUCCUGUAUUUUUCGCCGCCAUUGUGAUGGUGGAUUCGUCAGGUUUCUUUCGCCUUUUUUUUUUAUCGUCGGCUCUGUUAGCGACUUGGUGUGUGUGGCCACUUCCGAGGUGUUUAUGCAAUUUUUGGAAACUUUCUGUCUGAUGUUCACAACGCCUUGCAAAUAUUCGAGCUGAUUUCUAUGGAAUAGAUUUUCAAGAUGUUAAUGGAUCCUAAGUACUUACGUCAAGCAAUGUCUCUGUUUCAUGAAAGUGUAAUCAACUUGCUUUCAGAUCUAUAGCUAGAUGUAUAACAUAUCCAUUUUUCCGCUAAUUCUCAAAUGUAUUAAACAUUUCGUUUCAGAUUUAUAAAUAAGAGUUGUGUAGUUGUUUCCUACAUGGCAUUUCCAGGGCUGUUAUACUAUUGGAUGAGAAUGGGCAUUUGAGUUUCAGAUAAAGCAUGCUUCAUGUGCUGGUGGUGGACUUUGAAUGGUUUUCUCAG